CCUUUUAUGCCAAGAAAUUAACCAUCAAGCAUAAUUUGCAAUAUAUUAUCAAUCUGACAAAAGAAUCACUACAACUAUUAAAUCCUUUUUUAAAUAGGGGUUUUCAUCAGGUUUAGAAAUGAGACUGUAAACAACAAUUUUCAGUGCAUGUUCAAGGUGUGUUACAGGCCUACAUCUAUAUCAGAAUCUCAAAUUACACAUUUUCAAAGUAUACUGUGUGACACAUAUAUUGUACUACAUAGUUCUUGUUUAUUUCUUGUCACCUAUUUGUUAUAUCUAACAAUAGGAUAUUCUAGAUCAACUCCCCGCAUAGACCCGCUUCAAGGGAGGAGGAUGCAGAGGCCAGCAACAAGGAGCGGGUGUGGGUGCUCAUCCUCGCCGCUGACCACAAGUGCUGCGACAAACUUUGGGCAGAAUUCGAUCCCUCCACGGGUAUGAGCAAAUCAAAUACUGCUUACUUCUUUCUGUCUGUUGUCUGCUGAAGUAGCUAAUAGACCGCUUUAGAAUGUUGUGAGCUUGGUUAUUUUACAUUGUUUGCUAAUAUCAAGCAAAGAAUGAAUGCUGGAGUGUGUUACUGUGCUUCAUUACAAUCCCUAGAAAACUUUAGAAAGGGUGUUUCUGUCCACCCACAAAAAUCAAAAGAUAAAUCUAUGAUUGCGCGGCAGGCCUGAUAAUCCACACCAGACCAAUCAGAAAAGAGGACAAUCUGUGACUUGUUGAUUAAUUAACAAACCCGGUGUUGUUGUCCACUACCAGCCGGCUGGAGGCCCCAACUCGUUUGGCUCCGUCUACGCGGUGCCAGGAGAUUAGCACAUGGAUGCAUCCGCCGGCAGUACCAACUGCACAUCAAAGAACAACGGAUUAGUACGUUGACAGGGAUAGAAAGAAAAAUAUGAAACUCGGACACACGGAAUUUGCAGUUAUCAACAAACACUAAUUUGAAUACCUUCUAAAUCUCACAUAGUGCAGGGCUGCUCUGAAUAUCAUUGUGUUCCGUAAAUAAUGUUCCUUUCCUAGUCUACUACCGGGUGCACAAUCCAUCGACCACCAUGAUCCUCUGUCACAUUAAAGCUGUCCUACAUCAUCAGAUUAGAGUCUUUGCUCUUGUUGAUAAAUUGCGUAACACUCUGAAACACAACGAUAUUUUUUUACUCGUCAGAUUCAGAUUGGAGUCUGUUUUUUUACUCUGAAACACAAAAAGAACAUUGUCCCAUUGUCAACGGAGUAAAGAAAGAAUAGAUUAUCUUCAUGCCCCCGUAUUUAUGAAAAAUAUUUAUUCAACAAAAACAUGUCUACCUGCCCACUUCAUUGCAAACCAACUCACGUGUGCAGCAACAUUAUUUAUUAAUAAUGUAAAAUAUGUCUGCUACUCAACAAAGUUUAGAACCAAAUGGACAACUAUGAAGAAGCAUAAAUAUUUUGUAAUCCUUUUUAGCUUCCCUUACAUGUUGUAGGCAGCAUACGAUACUUAUCUGAAAUACCUAAAGGCACAAGAAAAGCUAGUGUAGAAUGAAGAAACUUUAAUCUAACCUCGCUCAAUCUGGUGUAUUUCCUUGAGCACCCAUGCGAGUGUCUUAGCUCUUCUUCAUACGCAUGGGGCACGAGCAUGUUCUCCAGGGAGGACAGUAGCUCUCACCCACGACCUCCUCGAUGUCGUUGGCGAAGUAGCAGAGGGUGACGGUGUGGAAUUGCUUGGUCGCUUGUGUGGGUGACCUCAAGGCGUUGCUGGUGGGAGGUCACAGACAAGCGCGUGCUGUCGGUGAAGAUGGAUCUAGAGAACAAGAAUUCAACCUACAAUUAAAAACUGCACAUACAUACUAUGUAUGCCCUCCAUAUGUCUCAAUUCAGAUUACACAUGUCUUACCUGCAUCUCAAUACUCCACAUAAUGUUGGUCACUCAGAUUGUCCUCCUCGUCUUCUACAAUUUUGCUGUUCGUGUACGCUACCCUAACCCCUGGUCAAAAAGCAAUUAUCGAUUAGUGCAAAGGGAUAACAUAGAGAGGGCAGAAAAAUGACCGGUGCAACUCCCAGCCACAUCUCUCACAAAUUCAUCUCCAUUGCCGACCAAAUACGAGUGCAAAAUCGCCUGCUCCCUAGCCUCUCAACCAUGUCAGGUGUAAAUAGAACAGCCGCCAGUCGUCGCCUCCGCCCAUCGACCACACAUCAUGCAGAGAACAAGACGUACAAUGCUGAGAGAACAACACGUACAAUAUUGAGAGAACUAUGGCAUGAUUCGGAGAAAAACCGUCACGUUCCUCGUGCACCGUCAGCACACACCAAGCAUGAUUCAAAAGUGGUGGAUCCAAAAUUUGCAAACUUACUGGGAGAAGUGCUAAUGAAAGGUACCAGGCAGGUUAGCUAGGGCGAGUCUUCUGGAGGGGAUACGUCCCAUUCAGGCUGACCCCCCUUUGCUUUGGUCUACUGUUGUUAAUUCUCUGCUGAAUAAAUACCAACGUCGGCAAUGGAUGUACAAAUUUUGUGGAGUCACCAUGGCGAUGCAAGAUCUGAAGAAAAUAUAGUGGGGUCUGACCUUGCUGCUGCUGACUAACGUAGAUUGAGAAGGCAAUGGCUGCGGGCUUCGAGUACGACGUCAGGGAGGAUGAUGCCUAGGUCGUUGAAUGUAUCCCCAACCAUGGAUCUCCUCUUCCUCCUUUUGAUCGCCUCCCGAUCUCACAAGCACCCUUGCCCGGGAUACACGGACGUCGUACACGCGGGAAGAUGGAUAGAGCCACACACCCCUACCUUGACCAAUCACUGAUGUGGAGGGGGUCAACGAUGGCCGGAUCUGGAACGUCGGCGGGUGGUGAGGCCACGGCCGUCGUGGCGCCGAUUGAUAUCCAUGGCAAGGCGUCUUCGCAAGGGAGGCGGUGGCGUGUGGAGAAGGAUCGGCAAGGCUCCUGAAGGGGAUCGUCUUCGGAUCCUCGACAUGAUGGGCAGCAGGUCCUCAACGGGAUCGACGGUGCUCCUGAAGUGGAUCGUGGGCGGCGGCUUCGAUGUGCGAGGGCGGCGGCGAAGGGAUGGAGCGGCGGCGGCUUUGAUGUGCGAGGUCGGCGGCGAAGGGAUGGAGCGGCGGCGGCGAAGGGAUGGAGCGGCGGUGGCGAAGGAUGGAGGGCGGCGGCGCACGAUUUGCUGAGCGAGUCGUGCGUGCGAGUGGUUCUCGCUCGAGGGCAGGCGGCCUUGCUCGUACGUGCGUGCGAUUGUUUUGGUUUUUUUUUCGCUGGUUAAUUUUCGCCGGUUUGUGCUCGGUGGUUUAUUUUCGAUCGUCUCAGGUAAUUACGACGGGAGGUUGUGCGGGUGCGGGACUCCAUCUUAGGGUUUUUUUUGGUUUUCCGCGGUUGGGAGGGAGGUGGGAAGUAGUACCAAAGAAGUACCAAAAUAGACCGGGUUAGGUGGGACGAAAAUAAAACCCGGAACGCGACCUACCAACUGAGACAUUAGGAGUAGAGAUACGGUCCGGCUGUGACUACAUCGUCGUCCAGUUCCACCUGUCUCUCUCCACUACGUGCUACGACUAGAUUUACAAUUUCAUCACACCUCCACAAAACCAACGUGCUACGUGCGGUAAUGGAUCUACUGGCCAAUUUUGGUGGUGUUGAUCACGCGGUGGACUACAUUUAUUCAUCACGCUUUCCUCUAACGAAGAACAACUAGAGUAAGUUCGUCGUAUAAUUCCACUGCCCUCUACAUCAAUUGUUUCGGUUCGAUUAUUAUUGCAAAAUCAUUUGUUUUUCGAUUGCGCUACUUAAUUACUAUAUGAUUUAUGAAAUAGGCUAUAACAAAGGUUUGUAUAAUUUUUCCGUUACUAUAUAAAGUAUUAAAUAUCAUAAUUAAUUACAACGGAAUAAUGUUUUAUAAUCAUGGCGAAUGAUUUAGCUAAAAAUCAUGCACUACAAAAGAUAGUUUAACUGCUUACAAACAGUUUGCAAUACUAUUCAAUUUAGCCCAAAAAUUAGAAGGCCGCUUAAUGACUAUAAAAGUUUGCACAAAUAAUGUAUAUUUUGCCAAAACAGUUUGAAAGCCUAUUCUUUUUAGCCCAAAUCAGUCUUUAGCUCAAAUCAGUUUAGCACGGGCAAUUUUUUUUUAGUAUUAUCGUUAUAUGUAUGGAGAUGCUUUAGUAUGAAAUCAAUGUGAAUCGUGAAGUUCUAUGCUAUUGCAUUAUAUUAAAAUACAGUACAUAUUACAAUUUAUUUUUGGUCAUAUUUUGUGAGAUAUGCAGUUGUGAAAAUAUCCAUAUAUUACACACCGAGAUAGUUGACCCCUUUGAUUUAUUUUUUAAAUUAAAGCCAAGUUGGUUCUGAACCUUGUUAUGCAUUUUUACAGCACAAUAUGGAUAAAGAGUUCUCGUUCAUUCCCUAUCGAGAUUAGCCUACGGAUUAUCCGAGACACCAUCAGAGAAGAUGGAGUUGUCCAUCCUUUAUGCUUCAAUCUUACAGUUCGUAAGAUUAGCAGUGACGCAUCAGAGAGGAGCGCAGGCACCAACUCUAUUGGAAGGACACACUAUUUUAAUCUGCAAUUUCAUAAGCAAGCAUGGGCACUAAGGCAGACCUGGUUAACCCAAGAAUAGGGCACCCAGACUCUUAUUGAGACCGUCGUGCUAGAGCCUUUUCCUAAAUACUACGUGUUCCACGCCCCUACAAUUGUAAGUGUUCUCGUUCAUACAAAUUAGUUUGGUUACUAGCUACAUCAUUUAUUUAUGUCUACCAAAUGCAGUACCUUCUCCCACUGGCACCCGUGGAUUCAUCCUACGGGCUAUUUGCAGUGAAAAUGGAUAUGGACAGGACUGUCAUUAUUGACUAUUCAAACCAGGCAUUAUUUGAUUUUGAGGAGGAGUUUCAUGACAUAGAACUUCAGAGAGAAGCUCUAUUAGUUAAGCAAGAAUUCAAUGUUAUUCUCCAACAAGGGGCCCCUGAUAGGAACAACCAGAUUUUGGAAUGGCCUGAACAAGUUAACAUUCAUGUCUCACAUCGGCGGUAAUAUUUUAAAUUGUCAUGAACUUUUGUUAUUUUACUGAUAUUAGCUAUUAAUACGUGAUGUUUUUCCAACAGCAUGGACUCUGGAUUUAAAGUUUUACAGGAGAUGGCCAACCUGUACGGAACUAUGGGGUAUGACAUCACUACUAGAAAUCCCCAUAUUUCCGAUGGUGAAAUCUAAUAGCCGACGGACUGUCGGGUAUUACAGUAAUAGCUGACGGUAGUUAUAAUGGCCGAUGGUUACUGUCAACUCACGAGUAUUACCACUAAUACCCGACGGUAUACUAGAAUGCCUGACGGUGAAAAUUCACCCCUCGGAUAUCCAACUUAAUGCCCGACGGUUCAUCGUAAAACCCGACGGUUUUUCCUACACCCACAGGGAUUACAUGUAAUGCCCGACGGGUUUCCCUACACCCACGGGGAUUACAUGUAAUGCCCGACGGGUUUCCCUACACCCACGGGGAUUACAUGUAAUGCCCGACGGGUUUCCCUACACCCACGGGGAUUACAUGUAAUGCCCGACUGUUAAUUGUAAUGCCCGACGGUUUUUGGUACACCCUCGGGGAUUACAUGUAAUGCCCGACGGUUUCUGCCACACCCACGGGGAUUACAUGUAAUGCCCGACGGUGAAAUUUAAUAGCCGAAGGUGAAAACAAAACUCUGACCUAUGAGAGGACAUGGCUGGUGGUAGAUAUGUGCCUCUUGGUUAUUUGAGAAAAUACCCGAUGGUGUAUAGUGAUAACCGGCGUUUGACUUUCCCUCUCCAUGAUAUGUUUCAAUGGACAACAUAUGUAGAACGGCCGAUAUUAUAUUCCAGAUAAUUCAGAAGAUUCCAAGAACUAACAUCUAGGAUACCCGAGUGCAUUAUGUUCUUUUUCACAAUUAAUAUAUAGGAUGCUUAAAAAUUGGUACAAGAUAAUACAAAUAUGAUGUUUAAAAAAAUUGCACUUACAAAAGUACUAGUUUGCUAAUUUCUUGGUCAUGUACUUCUGUAACUUGCCUUGAACGUAUCUUUGGUUUUUCUAAUAAAUGCAACUUUGUCUAGAAGGACCCCGACCUUCAUGUAUAUUAUUAAUUAACUGUAAAUGUGUCGUGAAGUAUUAUUAACAUCUUGAAUUAUAACGAGGAUGAGUGUUGUAUUUUAAAAUUAAGAAAGUGAAAUGCUAUGCAUACGAUCCUAUACAUACAUAUGAUCCUUUUUGUCCGAAGCAGUGUGACCAUUCUUUUUCCUCCCAACCAAGAAAGUAAAAGGGAGGCAUCACCCUUUCUACAAAGAGUCUGCCACAUGGAGCGAGGCAUUACCGUUUCAAAGUGCUGCCGUCCCCUGCAUCGGUGAGGCUAUGUUCGUACAAUAUGAACCCUUUCGUAUUUUUCAUCACCAUUUUAGGUCCUUAGUAAACACGUAUGGCUGGUCAUGAAGUACUAGUACUAUCGUGACAUACAAGCCCGAGUUCUGUAUUUCAAAACUAAAAAAAGAUUCAUUAUAUAUAUACAUAUGAUUCUUUACGUACAAUCCUUAUCAGACACCACAAACACAACAAAUCAACCAUUAAGCGGUGGUCAUUCUUUUUUCCUCGGGAAUAAAAAGGGCGAUCUCGCCAGCGUCUCUCCGAAGGAGAGUUCCUUUGAUCGUCGCCGUCCUACGGCGGCUCCCCUCCUCCGACGACCUCGAUCGUUGGUGCUAGGGGGGGUUGCCGGAUCCAUGUGUGUGUGUGUGUGUGGAUAGUUUUAGGCUAAAGCAGCUUUGUUUUUAGGUUGCUCAUCGUCUUCAGAUCCUUCCCCGACAAGUCGAUCGGCCCUAUGGUUGGGGGUGGUUUCGAAAACCAGCCUUUUCAAGCAAGGAUUGUGUGGCGGCGGCAUCCUCGUGGUGGACAUGUGUCCUCGGGCCGGCGUCUGCCCCAACAUCGGUGCGGAGCUUGGGAGGUACGUAGUUCAGGAGCGGAUGUAGAUUGUGGACGACAUCUGGAAGACGGAAUAUGUGAUGGGUUCGUGGUUGAUGGAUGGAAAGUGUGGUUUCCUCCUUCGACGUCUUAGUUGUGGUGGGGUGCCAGACCUUGAGUUCGAUAGGGUGUCCGGGGGUGUUGCUCAGAUCUGAUUCCUUCAACGACAAUGACUUCAGUUUUGGUGAGCCACCUUGGAGGCCCACAAAGCUGCAUAUCAGCGAUGGAGCCGCGUCGAGUUUGGGUGAGGAGGUCAUCCGUCGUUCUUCUUUUCGGUGGCUGUUGUGGUCGUGCUGGGGCAGGUGACGGAGCGUUGGUGUCUAGCUCAGAGAUGUUUUGCUAUCUUUUCAGUUUUGUCAUGCCGGUCCUUACGUGGCUUGUAUUUUAAUCUUUAUGAUAUGAAUGAGACACGUAUUACCAUGCAAAAGAAAAAAACCGAUGCGCGUUGGAACCAAAUACAACACACCAAUGGAUCAUCCAAGGUAUUAUGGCCAUUUUUCGCAAAAAUAACGUAUUAUGAUCAUACCAAGAAUCCUGUAUGUGCCAUGUCAAAAAAAGGGAUCGUGUAUGUGCAAAACGAACUGUGAGAAAUCUAAGAAUAAAAAUAGGAUUUAAAAAACAAAUGGCCCAAAAAAUAAAAGUUAAAAGUUAUUGUACUCCUAUAUGAUUUCAUACGUACUAAUAAUUAAUUAAUAACGCGUGUGCAAAAAAUUAAGUGCACCGCAUGGUUCGAACCCAAGACCAAACAAGCUAGCCUAGCGUGCUAUACCAGGUGGAGAACAGACAAGUUGUGACAUAUACCUCCUCAGAUGUUAUCUAUACUAGACAUUCUCAAAGCGCCGUUAACCAGCCCCGCCGCUUAUAUCCCCUCAGUCCUGCGGCUCACAUUCACCUCUCUCUCAACGCCGGUCGCCGCCUAGAUGUGUCACCUGACUUGCCACCGUCCUCCACUCUCGUCUCAGAUUUGACCCCAAAGUCAAGCUGUAGGCAGCAACAGCAGGUUCCCGUGUCGCCAUGAGCUAGAUGGGGAAGCGGGGGUUGGGUGGGGAGAGCCCGCAGUGGCAGAAAAGACGAACGAGGGCUGGCGGCCCCGGAGCUACCUCCACUACCUCGCCGCCGCGUCCGGUCCGACCCUGCCUCCUGCAAGCACGGCGACUUCCUUGACACCGUCUGGGCGGGCCAUGAGCUAACCACGCCCAAUCUCUUCAGGUCAGCACAGUACAGUAGGCAAUUUGGGAUUUUUUUAAUUGAAAUUGAGGAAAUUUUGACACAAUUGAGUGUGGAGACUGAGUUGUUUGGUUAAUUAGUUAAUCAGCACGUACACCAGAGACAAUUUGUUGCAACAUUGACACGAUUAUGUGAUGUAGAGAUAAUGAGAUAUGCUCAUGUUUUACUGCUACUCGAACCCUGAUAUGUACCGUGGUUUUCAUGGGAUAAUAUAAUUGAGUCCGUUUAAUCCGUUGAGUAGGCCUCGUGGUUAUCUAUUUUUUUCAUGUUUCUCACAUAGUGGUUGGUGCCCACCUCGCAGCCGUGGACUCCUAUUACCGAAUUAUUUGAUGAUCUGGCGCUGAUUUCUUGGCGCGGCCAGCAAAAAAUUCUCCCACGCCGGCGCACCACGCACCAAAUCAGGUCCUGAACUAACCGCCAUAGUCUCCAAAUCUCGUAUCGUAUAACUUCAGCCAUACACGCACUGUUAUACGAUACGAUGUAUACUUUCAAGCCAGCAAUCGAAUGGUCAUAAGGCACGUACCUUCAAUUGUCACCAAUCUUCAAGUUCACACAGGAUCCACAUUUCUUUGUCAUGCUCAAGAUGUUUCUGAUAAAGCAUUGAUUAUCUUGUAUGUGUUC
rnacentral:lncRNA from 1 species